rnacentral:rRNA from 1 species
UACAGAGGGUGCAAGCGUUAAUCGGAAUUACUGGGCGUAAAGCGCACGUAGGUGGCUGGGUAAGUUGGAUGUGAAAUCCCCGGGCUUAACUUGGGAAUUGCAUUCAAGACUGCCUUGCUAGAGUGUGGAAGAGGGAAGCGGAAUUCCAGGUGUAGCGGUGAAAUGCGUAGAUAUCUGGAGGAACACCGGUGGCGAAGGCGGUUCUCUGGGCAUGUCCUGACGCUGAGGAGCGAAAGUGUGGGGAGCGAACAGG